rnacentral:rRNA from 1 species
UACGAAGGGGGCUAGCGUUGCUCGGGAUUACUGGGCGUAAAGGGCGCGUAGGCGGCACUGUUAGUCAGGCGUGAAAGUCCUGGGCUCAACCUGGGAACUGCGCUUGAUACGGCAGAGCUAGAGGAUGGAAGAGGCUCGCGGAAUUCCCAGUGUAGAGGUGAAAUUCGUAGAUAUUGGGAAGAACACCGGUGGCGAAGGCGGCGAGCUGGUCCAUUACUGACGCUGAGGCGCGACAGCGUGGGGAGCAAACAGG